rnacentral:rRNA from 1 species
GUGACCUAGCCAUGAGCAGGCUGAAGUGGAGGUAAAACUCCAUGGAGGGCCGAACCCACUCCCGUUGAAAUGGUAGGGGAUGACUUGUGGCUAGCGGAGAAAUUCCAAUCGAACUCGGAGAUAGCUGGUUCUCUCCGAAAUAGCUUUAGGGCUAGCCUCAAUAUACAUUACCGCAGGUAAAGCACUGAAUGAGCUAGGGGGCGAAAGCUUACUGAACUCUAUCAAACUAAGAAUGGCGGAUAAUGAAAUAUUGGGAGUCACACUACGUGAGAUAAGUUUCGUGGUGGAAAGGGAAACAGCCCAGACCCACAGCUAAGGUCCCAAAGUACGGUUAAGUGGAAAAGGAUGUGGAGUUGCACAGACAACCAGGAUGUUGGCUCAGAAGCAGCCACUCAUUUAAAGAGUGCGUAAUAGCUCACUGGUCGAGUGAUUCUGCGCCGAAAAUUUAACGGGGCUAAAUUGUACACCGAAGCUUGGGAUACAUCUAAUGUAUGGUAGGAGAGCGUUGUAUACGGGGUGAAGUCAGAGCGGAAGCGCUGGUGGACUGUAUACAAGUGAGAAUGCCGGAAUGAGUAGCGAGAAUUAUGUGAGAAUCAUAAUGGCCGAAAGACUAAGGUUUUAGAAGGAAGGUUCGUCCGCUUCUAGUUAGCCGGGAGCUAAGGCGAGGCCGAAAGGCGUAGUCGAUGCACAUACGGUUGAGAUUCCGUAGCCACCUACGAUUUAAACUAAAGGACACAUCUGAAGGGCAUGACCCGGGCGUUGGUAGACCCGGGCGUAAGGGACCGAAAACAAGUAGGGAAGCAUGUUUGGAAGGUGGCGAGAAAAGUUUAGUGUAUAUAAUGUAGGUGCCCGUACUGCAAACCGACACAGGUAGUCAGGAAGAGAAUUCUAAGGCCAUCGGGAGAAGCGUUGUUAAGGAACUCGGCAAAUUGACCCCGUAACUUCGGAAUAAGGGGUGCUCACGAGAGUGAGCCGCAGUGAAUAGGUCCAGGCGACUGUUUAUCAAAAACACAGCUCUCUGCUAAAUCGAAAGAUGACGUAUAGGGGGUGACACCUGCCCGGUGCUGGAAGGUUAAGAGGAAGGGUGCAAGCUCUGAAUUGAAGCCCCAGUAAACGGCGGCCGUAACUAUAACGGUCCUAAGGUAGCGAAAUUCCUUGUCGGGUAAGUUCCGACCCGCACGAAUGGUGUAACGAUCUGGGCACUGUCUCAACUACCCACCCGGCGAAAUUGUAGUACCGGUGAAGAUGCCGGUUACCCGCGGCAAGACGGAAAGACCCCAUGGAGCUUUACUGUAACCUGAUAUUGGGUUUCGGUAUUUUAUGUACAGGAUAGGUGGGAGACUAUGAAACUAAGGCGCCAGCCUUAGCGGAGUCGCCCUUGGGAUACCACUCUUAAAGUACUGAAAUUCUAACCUGCGGCCGUGAAUCCGGUCGGGGGACAUUGUCAGGCGGGCAGUUUGACUGGGGCGGUCGCCUCCAAAAGAGUAACGGAGGCGCUCAAAGGUUCG